rnacentral:rRNA from 1 species
UACGAAGGGGGCUAGCGUUGCUCGGAAUCACUGGGCGUAAAGCGCACGUAGGCGGAUUGUUAAGUCAGGGGUGAAAUCCUGGAGCUCAACUCCAGAACUGCCUUUGAUACUGGCGAUCUUGAGUCCGGGAGAGGUGAGUGGAACUGCGAGUGUAGAGGUGAAAUUCGUAGAUAUUCGCAAGAACACCAGUGGCGAAGGCGGCUCACUGGCCCGGUACUGACGCUGAGGUGCGAA